rnacentral:rRNA from 1 species
AGCGAACGUUAGCGGCAGGCCUAAGACAUGCAAGUCGAGCGAGAACGUACCUUCGGGUGCUAGUAAAGCGGCGGACGGGUGAGUAACACGUGGAUAACCUGCCCUUCAGAAGGGGACAACCAACCGAAAGGUUGGCUAAUACCGUAUACGUCAGCGAGGACUGCGGUCCUUGUUGGGAAAGCUGGGUUUCGGCCUGGCGCUGAAGGAGGGGUCCGCGGCGCAUCAGCUUGAUGGUGGGGUAACGGCCUACCAUGGCGAAGACGCGUAGCUGGUCUGAGAGGAUGAUCAGCCACACUGGGACUGAGACACGGCCCAGACUCCUACGGGAGGCAGCAGUCGGGAAUAUUGGACAAUGGGGGAAACCCUGAUCCAGCCAUGCCGCGUGAGUGAUGAAGGCCCUCGGGUCGUAAAGCUCUGUGGGGAGCCACGAACCGUCGUCGGUUAAUACCCCGGCGGCCUGACGGUAGCUCCUUAGCAAGCCACCGGCUAACUCCGUGCCAGCCGCCGCGGUAAC